rnacentral:rRNA from 1 species
AACGUAGGAGGCGAGCGUUAUCCGGAGUUACUGGGCGUAAAGCGCGUGUAGGUGGUUGGAUACGUCUGCUGUGAAAUGUCCCGGCUUAACCGGGAGGGUGCGGCAGAUACGGUCUGACUUGAGGGCGACAGAGGAGCGUAGAAUUCCAGGUGUAGCGGUGAAAUGCGUAGAUAUCUGGAGGAACACCGGUGGCGAAGGCGGCAUCCUGGACCGGCAUUGACGCUGAGGCGCGAAAGCCAGGGGAGCAAACGGG